UAUCUGAGGAACAGAAAUGGGAGCAAAAACCUACCAAGGGACAGGUGGGGACAACAACCCAUUUAGAAACUGACAAGAAGAUGCUUCCAACCAUGAGUGCCAACCCUCAGGAAGAGCCCAAUUUAAUAUUGCAAGUUGCUGGAACUCCAGUUCCGUUUAUAAUUGAUAUGAGGGCAACCACAACCACUCUCGAUCAGGAAAUAGUAUCGGAAAAGGGAUUCCAGCUAUCAGAUGCUACAAUCACUCUGUCUGGGUUCGAAGGCACGGAACGUACCUAUUCACGUACCCAGCCACUGCAGCUGGAAUUCCAGGGGAGCCAGUGUGAGGUUUCAUUUACAGUCACCACCAGACGGGGGGUGUAAUCUAGCAGGGAGAGACUUGCUCUGUCCGUUGGAAGUCGAGAUUCUUUGCACAGACAAUGCUGUCACCCUUGUCAGGAGAACAACCGACAGCUUCCCCAGUUUCCGACCCCCAAGCACUUAAUUUGGAACCCACUCCUUCUGCCAGCAGCCAACCCUCGUGUGACUCUGUGCUUUGACCCUACGGGGUGCGUCACUGAGGAAAGCCAAUAUUAUGCACCCCCCGAGGGACAUAAGUUCCUAGUCACGGUGAUUAGAGAGGUUACAGGAAGAGACGGUAUUGCAUUACUGGCCGAAUUUCCAGAUUUCCUUUGGCGACAGACAGAACUGGUAGUUCCCCAUACCACCAUUAGGAUUUGCUCUGAGUUCAAGCCAAAGAGCCCAGGGUUCCUGGCCUACACCCUAACGAAGCAAGCCUCCAGCACCGAAGGAGACUGGCAAGACUUGGCCGUGGGUCUAGUCCAAUACGGGAAGGAGUCUGAGGUGAAGAUGGGAUAUCUGGGUGACGCCUCUGAGGAGGAGUGAGAACUGUGGUCCCAGAUGGGGUGCCAGAAAGACUCCAACCUAGGUUUUUGGAUCACCUAGUGGGACAGGUAUGUAAUGUCUAAAGGACCAGUGUUUGAGUAAAUGAGACUCACCAAACUUUCUCCUGACUGAAUCAAUGGAAUCUCCGAUUCUCCUGAGGCAGUUGUUCUCUC